rnacentral:rRNA from 1 species
ACCAGACUCCUACGGGAGGCAGCAGUGGGGAAUAUUGCACAAUGGGGGAAACCCUGAUGCAGCGACGCCGCGUGAGCGAAGAAGUAUUUCGGUAUGUAAAGCUCUAUCAGCAGGGAAGAAAAAAAUGACGGUACCUGAGUAAGAAGCACCGGCUAAAUACGUGCCAGCAGCCGCGGUAAUACGUAUGGUGCAAGCGUUAUCCGGAUUUACUGGGUGUAAAGGGAGCGUAGGCGGCGCGUUAAGUCUGAUGUGAAAAGCCGGGGCUCAACCGCGGGAGUGCAUUGGAAACUGGCGGGCUGGAGUGCCGGAGAGGUAAGCGGAAUUCCUAGUGUAGCGGUGAAAUGCGUAGAUAUUAGGAGGAACACCAGUGGCGAAGGCGGCUUACUGGACGGCAACUGACGCUGAGGCUCGAAAGCGUGGGGAGCAAACAGGAUUAGAUACCCCUGUA